CUCUCUUUCUCUGUGACAGAGAGAGACAUAUCUCCCUCUCAGUGCUCCAGCUGUUUCAGUAAAACAGAAGAUAACACUAUAACAUCAUGCCUCCUCCUCGUCCUCCUCCUCCUCCUCCUCCUCCUCUUAUCCCCUCCAUCACUCUCAUUCAUAAUUUAUCCGGAGACUGAUUUUUUGCCGACACAAUCCCGGGCGUCGCAGUGCAAACACUCUCUCCAGUUUCACUCGGGCUGCGUGGCCACUUCCUCCUGCAACAGGAAGCAGGUGUCGAUAAGUACAGGAAGUGAAAACUGGCACCCGGCCUCAGAGGGUGAAGUCGUGCAGUGCAGACUCUGGCUCAGGCCCCACACAGUGGCACACAGGGGCCGAGGUCUCUGUUAACCCCGAGUGUCAUGGACAACCUUUGAGGGAAGGAGACAGAGGUCUGGAAAUCCAAACAAACCAAGGCAAGAAAAGAGUUCAGCAGCCACCACCUCAUAACCCUAACACUGGAGGACAAAACGCUCAAAAUUAUGAGUAUAAUGUAUAAAAAAUGUAGGCUAGAUCUGGUACAGCGUGUCUCUCCGCCACUAACUUGGACAACCAGGCUGGAAUGUAAAGCAAAACAAGUCCUGAAACUGAUGAACCUGAGGUGACCCAUUCUCUGCUUCCCCAGCAUGAAACAGCCCCUCCUCCCCUCCCCUCUCUCCCCCUCUCUCUCUCUGGCUGUGGCGACAUUCCCAGGAGGCAGUUUUCUGGACGGUUCUCCGCGAUCGGGCUGGGAUGAACUCCACAUCUCUCACCCGUAAAGAGAUGGAGCACAAAAGCUGCUGUCUCAGCACCUGCCGUCCCCCCAGUGAAAAUCAAAAUAUCAAUAAGCUCUUAUAGCAUUAAGGAAAAUGCCUAAAUCUGACACUUUCUCUGCCUCCGUUCCCUCCCCUCUCCCUUUGCCAAUAUCACUCAACCACUUACACUUGGCAUGGACCCACUGGAGAGUUUUACAUGUACAUUAAGAGAGGCUUUCUGCCUCUAUUUGUCCUCCUGCGCCUCCUCCUCCGCUCCACUAUAUCUAUUAAAGUAAAUAUACACUGGCUGGACGGUGA